CCCCCUGUGGCUCAGUUGGUAGAGCAUGGUGUUUGCAACGCGUGUUUGCAAUGCCAGCAUGGUGUGUGCAACGCCAGGGUUGUGGGUUUGAUUCCCAUGGGGGGC
rnacentral:tRNA from 1 species